UAAUGUCAGGGAUUCCAGGGGCUGACCUUGGUGGGUGAUGAUGCUUUUCUGGACUGUCGCAGGACCCCUGGACCCCUGCAGCUCUCAUCCCUGAGGCACUUAGAGAAAAGCUCAGAGAGGAUCAGGAGAAGAGGCCUUGGGACCAUGAGCCCGUGAAGCCAAAGCCCUUGACCUACUGGAAGGAUGUCCUUCUGCUGGAGGGUGUGACCUUGACCCAGGAUUCCAGGCAGCUGAAUGGGUCGGAGCGGGCGGUGUUGGAUGGGCUGCUCACCCCAGCCGAGUGUGGGGUGCUGCUGCAGCUGGCUAAGGAUGCAGCUGGGGCUGGAGCCAGGUCUGGCUAUCGUGGUCGCCGCUCCCCUCACACCCCCCAUGAACGCUUCGAGGGGCUCACAGUGCUUAAGGCUGCGCAGCUGGCCCGGGCUGGGACAGUGGGCAGUCAGGGUGCUAAGCUGCUUCUGGAGGUGAGCGAGCGGGUGCGGACCUUGACCCAGGCCUACUUCUCCCCGGAACGGCCCCUGCAUCUGUCCUUCACCCACCUGGUGUGCCGCAGCGCCAUAGAAGGAGAGCAAGAGCAGCGCAUGGACCUGAGUCACCCAGU
rnacentral:sRNA from 1 species